GAUGAACGCUGGCGGCGUGCCUAAUACAUGCAAGUCGAGCGAAUGGAUUAAGAGCUUGCUCUUAUGAAGUUAGCGGCGGACGGGUGAGUAACACGUGGGUAACCUGCCCAUAAGACUGGGAUAACUCCGGGAAACCGGGGCUAAUCCCGGAUAACAUUUUGAACCGCAUGGUUCGAAAUUGAAAGGCGGCUUCGGCUGUCACUUAUGUAUGGACCCGCGUCGCAUUGGCUAGUUGGUGAGGUAACGGCUCACCAAGGCAACGAGGCGUAGCCGACCUGAGAGGGUGAUCGGCCUCACUGGGACUGAGACACGGCCCAGACUCCUACGGGAGGCAGCAGUAGGGAAUCUUCCGCAAUGGACGAAAGUCUGACGGAGCAACGCCGCGUGAGUGAUGAAGGCUUUCGGGUCGUAAAACUCUGUUGUUAGGGAAGAACAAGUGCUAGUUGAAUAAGCUGGCACCUUGACGGUACCUAACCAGAAAGCCACGGCUAACUACGUGCCAGCCGCCGCGGUAA
rnacentral:rRNA from 1 species